GAUGAACGCUAGCUACAGGCUUAACACAUGCAAGUCGAGGGACGGGCGCACGGGUGAGUAACACGUAUCCAACCUGCCCUUUACUCGGGGAUAGCCUGUCGCAAGAAAGAUUAAUACCCGAUAUAAAGGAUGGGGAUGCGUUCCAUUAGGUUGUUGGUGAGGUAACGGCUCUCCAAGCCUUCGAUGGAUAGGGGUUCUGAGAGGAAGGUCCACCACAAUGGAGCUGAGACACGGUCUAAACUGGUAGGCGAGGCAGGAGUAAGGAAGAUUGGUCAAGGGGCGCUAGUCUGACACAGCCAAGUAGCGUGAAGGAUGAAGCCUUAUGGGUCGUAAACUUCUUUUAUAUAAGAAUAUGUAUUAUAUGAAUAAGGAUCGGCUAACUCCGUGCCAGCAGCCGCGGUAAUUC
rnacentral:rRNA from 1 species